rnacentral:rRNA from 1 species
UCCAGGCUGUAAACGAUGCGGGCUAGGUGUCACCAGAGCCACGAGCUCCGGUGGUGCCGGAGGGAAGCCGUUAAGCCCGCCGCCUGGGAAGUACGGCCGCAAGGCUGAAACUUAAAGGAAUUGGCGGGGGAGCACUACAACGGGUGGAGCCUGCGGUUCAAUUGGAUUCAACGCCGGGAAGCUUACCGGGGGAGACAGCUGGAUGAAGGUCGGGCUGAAGACCUUACCAGACU